rnacentral:rRNA from 1 species
AACGAACGCUGGCGGCAUGCCUAACACAUGCAAGUCGAACGAACCCUUCGGGGUUAGUGGCGCACGGGUGCGUAACGCGUGGGAAUCUGCCCUUGGCUUCGGAAUAACAGUUAGAAAUGACUGCUAAUACCGGAUGAUGUCUUCGGACCAAAGAUUUAUCGGCCAGGGAUGAGCCCGCGUAGGAUUAGGUAGUUGGUGAGGUAAAGGCUCACCAAGCCGACGAUCCUUAGCUGGUCUGAGAGGAUGAUCAGCCACACUGGGACUGAGACACGGCCCAGACUCCUACGGGAGGCAGCAGUGGGGAAUAUUGGACAAUGGGCGCAAGCCUGAUCCAGCAAUGCUGCGUGAGUGAUGAAGGCCUUCGGGUCGUAAAGCUCUUUUACCCGGGAUGAUAAUGACAGUACCGGGAGAAUAAGCUCCGGCUAACUCCGUGCCAGCCGCCGCAGUAAAAC